rnacentral:rRNA from 1 species
GGACGAAAGUCUGACGGAGCAACGCCGCGUGAGUGAAGAAGGUUUUCGGAUCGUAAAACUCUGUUUUCAGGGACGAAUGUGCUAUUUGUGAAUAAUGAGUAGUAAUGACGGUACCUGACAAGAAAGCCACGGCUAACUACGUGCCAGCAGCCGCGGUAAUACGUAGGUGGCAAGCGUUGUCCGGAAUUAUUGGGCGUAAAGCGCGCGCAGGUGGGAUAAUAAGUCUGGUGUUAAAGUUCGGGGCUCAACCCCGUGAAGCAUUGGAAACUAUUAUUCUUGAGUGCAGGAGAGGAAAGUGGAAUUCCUAGUGUAGCGGUGAAAUGCGUAGAUAUUAGGAGGAACACCAGUGGCGAAGGCGACUUUCUGGACUGUGUCUGACACUGAGGCGCGAAAGCCAGGGUAGUGAACGGGAUUAGAUACCCCGGUAAUCCUGGCCGUAAACGAUGGGUACUAGGUGUUGGGGGUAUCGACCCCUCCAGUGCCGGAGUUAACGCAAUAAGUACCCCGCCUGGGGAGUAC